rnacentral:pre_miRNA from 1 species
CUCUAGAGGGAAGCGCUUUCUGUUGGCUAAAAGAAAAGAAAGCGCUUCCCUUCAGAGUG